UACAGAGGUCUCAAGCGUUGUUCGGAUUUACUGGGCGUAAAGGGCGCGUAGGCGGCGCGAGAAGUCGAGUGUGAAAGCCCCGGGCUCAACCUGGGAAUUGCGCUCGAGACUCAAGUGCUUGAGUUCGGGAGAGGAGCGUGGAAUUCCCAGUGUAGAGGUGAAAUUCGUAGAUAUUGGGAAGAACACCGGUGGCGAAGGCGGCGCUCUGGACCGAGACUGACGCUGAGGCGCGAAAGCGUGGGGAGCAAACAGGAUUAAGAAACCCCGGUGAG
rnacentral:rRNA from 1 species